CAUUUCCUGGACUUAGUAUGUUUUGGCAACACCCUCUGAAAACCUCGAGGCUGAUGAUUGAAUGUAGCGCGUAUACUUGUGUUAUUAAUACUAGUUUACAGAGUGGAGGACAGCUGAGGAAACACUUGAUUGCACAAUGGUUUUUUGGGAAGAUGUUUUGAUCCUGAUAAAAGGCACUCACAAAGAGUUUGACGAGAUUCAGAGAAAUGAUAAUGUCCCUUCUGAUUCUGAAAUUCAAACAAUGAUUGACAAGCUUGAAAUGGGGGAUCUUAUUCUGAGGAGAAUUGACAGACGCGGAAAAAUGUAUCAUGUUGGGGUUUACACUGGCAGAAAGCGAGUAAUUGAUUUCACAGCUCCUGCAGAUCCUAAGUUUCCUGCAGCAUCUAAAGUGUUAUGUUCAUCAUCAUGUAAGGGAGGCUUAGUUAGCAUGAAGAGUGUGAAGCACUUCAUUGGACUGAAGCCAUACUGCGUCUUACGUUUGAAAACAAGAAGACUGCCUCCAAAUUUUUCUCAAGAGGUUCAAGAAAUGAUGGAUUAUGAUGGAGAUUAUCAUCUUUGAAUAAUAACUGUCUGCAUUUUGCACUGAGACUACUGGGGUUGCCAUCAAGGCCACUUACAUCCAGGCAGCCAAAUAGAGAAGUUGCCAUGGAGGAUCUGGGGGAACGUUCUGGUUUCUUGAAGGAAAAUCAAUGAAUCAACACGUUUGAACAACAUGAGAUAUAUAAGCAUAUAUAUAUACACUGUCGCCGCUAAAAAGUAUUGACACACAUUUACACAACUAAAUCAUGCUUAAAUAUCUCUGAAUUUCAUGGCAAAAAUCAAAUAAACUGGCCAUUUUGCAAUUACUUAACCUAAAUAAUUAAGGUGAUUUUAGAUUUUUUUUAGUAUGUUUAAAUCAGUUUUCCUCAAGACAACACAACAUGUUUAUGUGAUGCAAAGGCAUUUAUUUUUCAAACAGUUCUGGGAAAUUGGUAUUUCUGUUAUCUCAUAGUUAUCUCAUAGUUUGUGUUUUAGUGUACAAUUGACAGGGGAAAAACUGUAACAGUGGAAACAUUUUUAAAAAUAAUUUUAGAAUAUAAGAAAUAAAAAAAUUAAAGCAUAGCAUUCACGUUUCAAAAACGUUUUCAUGAGCAACAGAAACACUUUUUAUAUACUGCUUAAUACAGCGCCAUCUGUUUAAGAAUAAAGUUCAACAUAAACAUAUACUAUUUAAAUACCAGUAACGUGGGGGUAUAUUUGCUUUUAUCAGUGUUUUUUUUUUUUUUUUUAUUAAAUGUGACUCAAUAUAACAUUGUGACUACAGUAAAAAAGAAUUGUCAUGUGGUGAAUCUGGCCAGUCGUGAAACAGCUGUCGUCAUCAGCAGUCGCUCUGAGAAAGCUGUGCCAGCUGUGAGUUCUUUAAAUGUCUUUCUCUGUCGUGUCUUUAAAUGCCAGGGGUUUAAGAGAUGUUGUUAAACGCAAGGCCUUAUUUUUAUUUUCUAGACAGUUUGGUUCUGACUUAGUUUUUUUUCAAGAGUCUCAUUCUAAUGACAAAGAUGUUAAUUUUUGGAAGUCGCAGUGGGGUAGUGAGAUAUGGUUUUCUCAUGGUUCGGAGCACUCUGCAGGUGUUUCCUGUUUAAAAAAUAAUUGUGCAGGUGAUGUGUUGCCAGAGCAUGUGAGCGAAGCGGAGCGGAAAUCUCUUCACAAUCUUCUCUGAUGCAUUUUGUCCAUCAUUUUAUGCUGUCAAUACAGGAGACAAACCAAUGGGCCACUGGCUGCUCGCUGUCCCUGCGUAAAACAAAUCUGUCAGGCCCCUUAAGUGCGUCGACCCACCAGGAAAAUACCCGGUAUGCCGAUUACCAAACCAGUCCUGAUCCAGAGUCAUAGUCAUAUUAAAAUGUAGACACUGAUAUACAAUCUUACAGACUUGAUAUAGUACAUUAACAAGGAUUUGGUACAAUUAAAAUAUACCCUAUAAAUUUUAA